rnacentral:tRNA from 1 species
GGGGAUAUGGCGAAAUUGGUAGACGCUACGGACUUAAAAAUCCGUCGACUUAGAAUUCGUG